GGCACUUUGACCGAGUGGUUAAGGUGCAGGCCUGCUAUAGCCGUUUCGGCGAAGUUAGCCUGUGGGUUCGCCCGCGUGGGUUCGAAUCCCACAGGUGUCG